rnacentral:rRNA from 1 species
GAUGAACGCUGGCGGCGUGCUUAACACAUGCAAGUCGAACGAUGAAGCCCAGCUUGCUGGGUGGAUUAGUUGCGAACGGGUGAGUAACACGUGAGUAACCUGCCCUUAACUCUGGGAUAAGCCUGUGAAACUGGGUCUAAUACCUGCUAGGAGCGUCCACCGCAUGGAUGGUGUUGGAAUGAUUGAUCGGUUUUGGAUGGCCUCGCGGGCUAUCCGCUUGUUGGUGAGGUAAUGGCUCCCUAAGGCGACGACGGGUAGCCGGCCCGGGAGGGUGACCGGGCACACGAGGCCUGAGAGACGGCGCAGACUCGAACGGGAGGCAGCGGUGGGGAAUAUUGCGCAAUGGGCGCAAGCCUGAGGCAGCGACGCCGCGUGAGGGAUGACGGCCUUCGGGUUGUAAACCUCUUUCAGUAGGGAAGAAGCGAAAGUGACGGUACCUGCAGAAAAAGCAACGGCUAACUACGUG